AAAGAGUGUAGCCUAACAAAAAUAUUUGUAGCUUUCUAAAAUUUACUCUGCUAAAUGAUGUGUUGCAGUCUCCCAGAGGACCCACGUAGGCACGUACGGCCGUAUUUCUCCAUUUUUUUACACUUCCUCCUCCGACGAGUGAUGAUCAUGCCUAUCUAGGUUCCUCCACCGCGUGCGCCGGCGCCCGCCGGCCCGCGGCUCGCCGACGGCGCUCAACCGCCGUGUCUCGCCGAUCUCUUUCACUGCGAGCGCGAGCGUGUGCGUGCGCUGCGUGUGCGUCGGUGAGAUUGCUGAGGUCUCGUCCCGCAGGUUUCGUUCUUGCUCUGACCGCCUGAGGCGCGCAGAGUGUUCGACGGAAUGUCUCCCAAGAGCAAGAAGGCGGCGGUGGAGGGCGGCGGCGGCGGGGACCACAUCGGCGCGCUCCCGGACGCGCUCCUGUGGCACGUGCUGUCGUUCCUGCAGUCGAAGGAGGUGGUGCGCACGUGCGUGCUCGCCCGGCGCUGGCGCCACCUCUGGAAGUCCGUGCCCGUCCUGCGCGUCACCGGCGCCGACGAGGCGAUCCACAAGUUCAUGGACCAUCUCCAGCUCCUCCGAGACCGAUCGCCCCUGGAAGCUUGCGUGUUCGCCUUCUGUUUAUACUCCAAGCACGACGCGCCAUUCGCGAACCUCUGGAUUCGGUAUGUCUUGUCGUGCCAAGUUCGGGUUCUCACUCUUGAUAUCAUUGGGCUUCGGCUCAUCGAUCUGCCUGUAGUCUCUGGAUUCUUGACUACGUUGGAGCUUGGUGGUAUGAGUGUUCAUGGCAAAUUUCUUGAUUUCUCGAGCUGUCCGGCACUGGAAGAGCUGAAGAUGACCAAAUGCACCAUAUCUGCUGACAAAAUCUCUUCCCAAUCACUCAAGCGUCUGAGCAUCUGUGAAUGCAAGCUAAAGUCAGACGGGAGGACAGUUAUCUCUGUACCAAGUCUCCUUUUCCUGCAACUAAUAGCUUUCAAGGGUAGAACUCCUUUCCUUGAAGAUAUGCCACUGUUGGUAACAGCAAAAGUUAUACUGUCUGGCUACCACUGUAAGGAUUAGUGUUACAGCAGUGACCCUGGGUAUUGUCCUAUUGGUUGUACGCAUUGUUAUGGCAUUGAUGAUGGUAGUGCAGGCUGUGUGCUUCUGAAAGGUUUGGCUGAUGCUUCGAAUUUGGAGUUGAUAGCUGAUCCUAAAGUGUUUAUUCUCAGAAGGGAUUUGAGAUGGUGCCCCACAUUUACCAAACUGAAGACUUUAUUACUCAUUCAGUGGUUUGAGUCUGCUGAAAACUGUGCACUAAUUUGCAUUCUUCAACACUCACCAUUUCUAGAGAAGCUCACUCUUCAGCUUUCUAAGAAACCUGACAUCAAUAUGCGAUCAAGAGCAAUCUACAAUUCGAUGGGAAAAUCAUUUGCAUCAGAUAACCUUAAGACAGUUGAAGUUAAAUGUCAAGAUAUCGACAAGAAAGUUCAUAAACUUAUUAUGUCCUUGAACAGCUACGGCAUUCCACCUGAGAAAAUUAAUAUUCAACAAACAAAUGAAUCAUAUGAGUGUUUUAAUUUCGUUUGGACAGGAUUCAUCCCAAGGCAGAGCUACCAAGCAUCCGAGCUGUCCAUGUAUAUCCGGUCUCCUUAAUUUGCUAUGGAUGUAGAGCAAGUUUGCAGUCACCAGGUGUUGCUGUCUGAAACCAAUGGGAGUGUUAAAAAUCUGUUCCAAACCUGUUGGUGAGGCUUGGUAAUACGACUUUGUGUAGAUAACUAGAUGUGGCUGGACCUAGAUUUUAUUAGCUCUCAAGUUUUGAUCCAGAUUUUGUUAACGACUUUUGCAAAGAUAUCUUGGCAGUAUCUUGUGCCAUGACUGAAGCUGUGUUUUUCUCUUUUUUGUUUCUUAUGGAAGACUGAAGCUGAGUAAGCUAUUGAAUGUUCAGGCGAUUUAUGAACUUGGCAUUGUCUUUUCA